rnacentral:rRNA from 1 species
GAUGAACGCUGGCGGCGUGCCUAAUACAUGCAAGUCGAACGCUGGAACUCUAGCUUGCUAGAUUGAAGGAGUGGCGAACGGGUGAGUAAUACAUAAGCAACCUACCCACGAAGACUGGGAUAAUCUCUGGAAACGGGGACUAAUACCGGAUAGGUAAUCGGAAGGCAUCUUCUGAUUAUUAAAGGUUAAAAACACUGGUGGAUGGGCUUAUGGCGCAUUAGUUAGUUGGUGAGGUAACGGCCCACCAAGACGAUGAUGCGUAGCCGGCCUGAGAGGGUGAACGGCCACAUUGGGACUGAGACACGGCCCAGACUCCUACGGGAGGCAGCAGUAGGGAAUGUUCGGCAAUGGGGGAAACCCUGACCGAGCAACGCCGCGUGAGUGAUGACGGCCUUCGGGGUGUAAAGCUCUGUUGUAAGGGAAGAACGGUAGAUAGAGAAUAUCUAAAUGACGGUACCUUACCAGAAAGCCACGGCUAACUACGUG